rnacentral:misc_RNA from 1 species
UUUCCGUAGGUGAACCUGCGGAAGGAUCAUUACCGAGUGAGGGCCCUCUGGGUCCAACCUCCCACCCGUGUUUAUCGUACCUUGUUGCUUCGGCGGGCCCGCCUCACGGCCGCCGGGGGGCACCCGCCCCCGGGCCCGCGCCCGCCGAAGACACCAUUGAACGCUGUCUGAGGAUUGCAGUCUGAGCAUCUUAGCUAAAUCAGUUAAAACUUUCAACAACGGAUCUCUUGGUUCCG